rnacentral:rRNA from 1 species
GACGUAGGGCGCGAGCGUUGUCCGGAUUUACUGGGCGUAAAGAGCUCGUAGGCGGCUUGUCGCGUCGACUGUGAAAACUCGGGGCUCAACUCCGAGCUUGCAGUCGAUACGGGCAGGCUAGAGUUCGGUAGGGGAGACUGGAAUUCCUGGUGUAGCGGUGGAAUGCGCAGAUAUCAGGAGGAACACCGAUGGCGAAGGCAGUUCUCUGGGCCGUAACUGACGCUGAGGAGCGAAAGCGUGGGGAGCGAACAGG